rnacentral:lncRNA from 1 species
UUUGGUCUCAUUCACUACAAGGUUCAGUUGGUCUGGCUGCAGAAUCUGCAAGGAUAAAUGGAACAGGAGAGAGCUCAAACCAUUCAAGCUUUUAUGGUUGAAAAUGCACAUUUCUCAUGGGC